AGAGUUUGAUCCUGGCUCAGAUUGAACGCUGGCGGUAGGCUUAACACAUGCAAGUCGUGCGAGAAAGUAUCUUCGGAUAUGAGUAGAGCGGCGGACGGGUGAGUAACGCGUAGGAAUCUACCUAGUAGAAGGGGAUAGCCCGAGGAAACUCGGAUUAAUACCGUAUACCUCCUUCGGGAGAAAGAAGGCCUCUCUUUGAAGCUUUCGCUACUAGAUGAGCCUGCGUAAGAUUAGCUUGUUGGUGAGGUAAAGGCUCACCAAGGCGACGAUCUUUAGCGGGUCUGAGAGGAUGAUCAGCCACAUUGGGACUGAGACACGGCCCAAACUCCUACGGGAGGCAGCAGUGGGGAAUCUUGCACAAUGGAGGAAACUCUGAUGCAGCGAUGCCGCGUGAGUGAAGAAGGCCCUUGGGUUGUAAAGCUCUUUCGUCGGGGAAGAAAAUGACUGUACCCGAAUAAGAAGGUCCGGCUAACUUCGUGCCAGCAGCCGCGGUAAUACGAAGGGACCUAGCGUAGUUCGGAAUUACUGGGCUUAAAGAGUUCGUAGGUGGUUGAAAAAGUUAGUGGUGAAAUCCCAGAGCUUAACUCUGGAACUGCCAUUAAAACUUUUCAGCUAGAGUAUGAUAGAGGAAAGCAGAAUUUCUAGUGUAGAGGUGAAAUUCGUAGAUAUUAGAAAGAAUACCAAUUGCGAAGGCAGCUUUCUGGAUCAUUACUGACACUGAGGAACGAAAGCAUGGGUAGCGAAGAGGAUUAGAUACCCUCGUAGUCCAUGCCGUAAACGAUGUGUGUUAGACGUUGGAAAUUUAUUUUCAGUGUCGCAGGGAAACCGAUAAACACACCGCCUGGGGAGUACGACCGCAAGGUUAAAACUCAAAUGAAUUGACGGGGACCCGCACAAGUAGUGGAGCAUGUGGUUUAAUUCGAAGAUACGCGCAGAACCUUACCAACACUUGACAUGUUCGUCGCGACUCUAAGAGAUUAGAGUUUUCGGUUCGGCCGGACGAAACACAGGUGCUGCAUGGCUGUCGUCAGCUCGUGUCGUGAGAUGUUGGGUUAAGUCCCGCAACGAGCGCAACCCUCACUUUUAGUUGCCAUCAUUAAGUUGGGCACUCUGAAAGAACUGCCAGUGAUAAGCUGGAGGAAGGUGGGGAUGACGUCAAGUCCUCAUGGCCCUUACGUGUUGGGCUACACACGUGCUACAAUGG
rnacentral:rRNA from 1 species